rnacentral:rRNA from 1 species
GCCCAGACAACUAGGAUGUUGGCUUAGAAGCAGCCAUCAUUUAAAGAGUGCGUAAUAGCUCACUAGUCGAGUGACACUGCGCCGAAAAUGUACCGGGGCUAAACAUAUUACCGAAGCUGUGGAUUGUCCUUUGGACAAUGGUAGGAGAGCGUUCUAAGGGCGUUGAAGCAUGAUCGUAAGGACAUGUGGAGCGCUUAGAAGUGAGAAUGCCGGUGUGAGUAGCGAAAGACGGGUGAGAAUCCCGUCCACCGAUUGACUAAGGUUUCCAGAGGAAGGCUCGUCCGCUCUGGGUUAGUCGGGUCCUAAGCUGAGGCCGACAGGCGUAGGCGAUGGAUAACAGGUUGAUAUUCCUGUACCACCUAUAAUCGUUUUAAUCGAUGGGGGGACGCAGUAGGAUAGGCGAAGCGUGCGAUUGGAUUGCACGUCUAAGCAGUAAGGCUGAGUAUUAGGCAAAUCCGGUACUCAUUAAGGCUGAGCUGUGAUGGGGAGAAGACAUUGUGUCUUCGAGUCGUUGAUUUCACACUGCCGAGAAAAGCCUCUAGAUAGAAAAUAGGUGCCCGUACCGCAAACCGACACAGGUAGUCAAGAUGAGAAUUCUAAGGUGAGCGAGCGAACUCUCGUUAAGGAACUCGGCAAAAUGACCCCGUAACUUCGGGAGAAGGGGUGCUCUUUAGGGUUAACGCCCAGAAGAGCCGCAGUGAAUAGGCCCAAGCGACUGUUUAUCAAAAACACAGGUCUCUGCUAAACCGUAAGGUGAUGUAUAGGGGCUGACGCCUGCCCGGUGCUGGAAGGUUAAGAGGAGUGGUUAGCUUCUGCGAAGCUACGAAUCGAAGCCCCAGUAAACGGCGGCCGUAACUAUAACGGUCCUAAGGUAGCGAAAUUCCUUGUCGGGUAAGUUCCGACCCGCACGAAAGGCGUAACGAUUUGGGCACUGUCUCAACGAGAGACUCGGUGAAAUCAUAGUACCUGUGAAGAUGCAGGUUACCCGCGACAGGACGGAAAGACCCCGUGGAGCUUUACUGUAGCCUGAUAUUGAAAUUCGGCACAGCUUGUACAGGAUAGGUAGGAGCCUUUGAAACGUGAGCGCUAGCUUACGUGGAGGCGCUGGUGGGAUACUACCCUAGCUGUGUUGGCUUUCUAACCCGCACCACUUAUCGUGGUGGGAGACAGUGUCAGGCGGGCAGUUUGACUGGGGCGGUCGCCUCCUAAAAGGUAACGGAGGCGCUCAAAGGUUCCCUCAGAAUGGUUGGAAAUCAUUCAUAGAGUGUAAAGGCAUAAGGGAGCUUGACUGCGAGACCUACAAGUCGAGCAGGGUCGAAAGACGGACUUAGUGAUCCGGUGGUUCCGCAUGGAAGGGCCAUCGCUCAACGGAUAAAAGCUACCCCGGGGAUAACAGGCUUAUCUCCCCCAAGAGUUCACAUCGACGGGGAGGUUUGGCACCUCGAUGUCGGCUCAUCGCAUCCUGGGGCUGUAGUCGGUCCCAAGGGUUGGGCUGUUCGCCCAUUAAAGCGGUACGCGAGCUGGGUUCAGAACGUCGUGAGACAGUUCGGUCCCUAUCCGUCGUGGGCGUAGGAAAUUUGAGAGGAGCUGUCCUUAGUACGAGAGGACCGGGAUGGACAUACCUCUGGUGUACCAGUUGUCGUGCCAACGGCAUAGCUGGGUAGCUAUGUGUGGACGGGAUAAGUGCUGAAAGCAUCUAAGCAUGAAGCCCCCCUCAAGAUGAGAUUUCCCAACUUCGGUUAUAAGAUCCCUCAAAGAUGAUGAGGUUAAUAGGUUCGAGGUGGAAGCAUGGUGACAUGUGGAGCUGACGAAUACUAAUCGAUCGAAGACUUAAUCAA